rnacentral:rRNA from 2 species
GGUUAAGCGACUAAGCGUACACGGUGGAUGCCCUGGCAGUCAGAGGCGAUGAAGGACGUGCUAAUCUGCGAUAAGCGCCGGUAAGGUGAUAUGAACCGUUAUAACCGGCGAUUUCCGAAUGGGGAAACCCAGUGUGAUUCGUCACACUAUCAUUAACUGAAUCCAUAGGUUAAUGAGGCGAACCGGGGGAACUGAAACAUCUAAGUACCCCGAGGAAAAGAAAUCAACCGAGAUUCCCCCAGUAGCGGCGAGCGAACGGGGAGGAGCCCAGAGCCUGAAUCAGCAUGUGUGUUAGUGGAAGCGUCUGGAAAGGCGCGCGAUACAGGGUGACAGCCCCGUACACAAAAGCGCAUGUGCUGUGAGCUCGAUGAGUAGGGCGGGACACGUGGUAUCCUGUCUGAAUAUGGGGGGACCAUCCUCCAAGGCUAAAUACUCCUGACUGACCGAUAGUGAACCAGUACCGUGAGGGAAAGGCGAAAAGAACCCCGGCGAGGGGAGUGAAAAAGAACCUGAAACCGUGUACGUACAAGCAGUGGGAGCACCCUUCGGGGUGUGACUGCGUACCUUUUGUAUAAUGGGUCAGCGACUUAUAUUCUGUAGCAAGGUUAACCGUAUAGGGGAGCCGGAGGGAAACCGAGUCUUAAUUGGGCGUUAAGUUGCAGGGUAUAGACCCGAAACCCGGUGAUCUAGCCAUGGGCAGGUUGAAGGUUGGGUAACACUAACUGGAGGACCGAACCGACUAAUGUUGAAAAAUUAGCGGAUGACCUGUGGCUGGGGGUGAAAGGCCAAUCAAACCGGGAGAUAGCUGGUUCUCCCCGAAAGCUAUUUAGGUAGCGCCUCGUGAAUUCAUCUCCGGGGGUAGAGCACUGUUUCGGCUAGGGGGCCAUCCCGGCUUACCAACCCGAUGCAAACUGCGAAUACCGGAGAAUGUUAUCACGGGAGACACACGGCGGGUGCUAACGUCCGUCGUGAAGAGGGAAACAACCCAGACCGCCAGCUAAGGUCCCAAAGUCAUGGUUAAGUGGGAAACGAUGUGGGAAGGCCCAGACAGCCAGGAUGUUGGCUUAGAAGCAGCCAUCAUUUAAAGAAAGCGUAAUAGCUCACUGGUCGAGUCGGCCUGCGCGGAAGAUGUAACGGGGCUAAACCAUGCACCGAAGCUGCGGCAGCGAACGUAUCACCCAAGACAACUUUACGGAGUUGACGAUUGACGGAGCGAAGCGACGUCAAAGCGUUCAUUAAAGUCGAGUUGGCUUAGGGAUACGUUCGUUGGGUAGGGGAGCGUUCUGUAAGCCUGUGAAGGUGUGUCGUGAGGCAUGCUGGAGGUAUCAGAAGUGCGAAUGCUGACAUAAGUAACGAUAAAGCGGGUGAAAAGCCCGCUCGCCGGAAGACCAAGGGUUCCUGUCCAACGUUAAUCGGGGCAGGGUGAGUCGACCCCUAAGGCGAGGCCGAAAGGCGUAGUCGAUGGGAAACGGGUUAAUAUUCCCGUACUUGGUGUUACUGCGAAGGGGGGACGGAGAAGGCUAUGUUGGCCGGGCGACGGUUGUCCCGGUUUAAGCGUGUAGGUGUGUGUUCCAGGUAAAUCCGGUUCACUUUAACACUGAGGCGUGACGACGAGGCACUACGGUGCUGAAGCAACAAAUGCCCUGCUUCCAGGAAAAGCCUCUAAGCAUCAGGUAACAUCAAAUCGUACCCCAAACCGACACAGGUGGUCAGGUAGAGAAUACCAAGGCGCUUGAGAGAACUCGGGUGAAGGAACUAGGCAAAAUGGUGCCGUAACUUCGGGAGAAGGCACGCUGACACGUAGGUGAAGUGAUUUACUCAUGGAGCUGAAGUCAGUCGAAGAUACCAGCUGGCUGCAACUGUUUAUUAAAAACACAGCACUGUGCAAACACGAAAGUGGACGUAUACGGUGUGACGCCUGCCCGGUGCCGGAAGGUUAAUUGAUGGGGUCAGCGCAAGCGAAGCUCCUGAUCGAAGCCCCGGUAAACGGCGGCCGUAACUAUAACGGUCCUAAGGUAGCGAAAUUCCUUGUCGGGUAAGUUCCGACCUGCACGAAUGGCGUAAUGAUGGCCAGGCUGUCUCCACCCGAGACUCAGUGAAAUUGAACUCGCUGUGAAGAUGCAGUGUACCCGCGGCAAGACGGAAAGACCCCGUGAACCUUUACUAUAGCUUGACACUGAACAUUGAGCCUUGAUGUGUAGGAUAGGUGGGAGGCUUUGAAGUGUGGACGCCAGUCUGCAUGGAGCCGACCUUGAAAUACCACCCUUUAAUGUUUGAUGUUCUAACGUGGACCCGUAAUCCGGGUUGCGGACAGUGUCUGGUGGGUAGUUUGACUGGGGCGGUCUCCUCCUAAAGAGUAACGGAGGAGCACGAAGGUUGGCUAAUCCUGGUCGGACAUCAGGAGGUUAGUGCAAUGGCAUAAGCCAGCUUGACUGCGAGCGUGACGGCGCGAGCAGGUGCGAAAGCAGGUCAUAGUGAUCCGGUGGUUCUGAAUGGAAGGGCCAUCGCUCAACGGAUAAAAGGUACUCCGGGGAUAACAGGCUGAUACCGCCCAAGAGUUCAUAUCGACGGCGGUGUUUGGCACCUCGAUGUCGGCUCAUCACAUCCUGGGGCUGAAGUAGGUCCCAAGGGUAUGGCUGUUCGCCAUUUAAAGUGGUACGCGAGCUGGGUUUAGAACGUCGUGAGACAGUUCGGUCCCUAUCUGCCGUGGGCGCUGGAGAACUGAGGGGGGCUGCUCCUAGUACGAGAGGACCGGAGUGGACGCAUCACUGGUGUUCGGGUUGUCAUGCCAAUGGCACUGCCCGGUAGCUAAAUGCGGAAGAGAUAAGUGCUGAAAGCAUCUAAGCACGAAACUUGCCCCGAGAUGAGUUCUCCCUGAGACUUAGAGUCUCCUGAAGGAACGUUGAAGACGACGACGUUGAUAGGCCGGGUGUGUAAGCGCAGCGAUGCGUUGAGCUAACCGGUACUAAUGAACCGUGAGGCUUAACCUU